UUACCUUUUUGCGUGAUACGCCACCUGACCUUGCAUUGCAUGAGAAACCGACGCCACUUCCGAAACAACCUAAAAAAUUAAUCAAAUAAAAUAAAGAAAGAAAAUCGUUGCCGAGUCCGAGAAGAGAAGAAAGAAUCGAGAGAAAUGGUGUCGGAUUCGGACCUCGUGGCCCGGCUCCGUGAAAUACUCCGGAGUUCGGACUUAGACACGGCCACUGCCAGCAGUAUACGGCGGCAGUUAGAGGAGGAUUUCGGCGUUGAUUUAUCGGAGAAAAAAAAGUUUAUUAGAGAGCAAAUUGAUACUUUUCUUGAAACCCUAAAUAAAGGAGAUGGUCAGUCAUGGAAUGUGACAGAAAAUGAAGAUAACGAAAACGACACCGUUGAAGACGAUGAAAAUGAAAACGACGGUAUUAAAGAAGAAGAAGAAGAAGAUAGUGAGACAAAGGAAAGCAAGGGGUCAGACAAGACAGAAAAGGUGAGGAAAAGAGGCGGUUUUGCUAAGUUAAGUAGCUUAUCUCCGCAACUUCAAGCAGUUGUUGGAGUGCCUGAAUUGGCCAGAACUGAGGUUGUGAAAAAACUUUGGGCCUAUAUCCGUGAAAACAAUUUGCAGGAUCCAAAGAAUAGGAAAAAAAUAAAAUGUGAUGAGGCAUUGCGCGCUGUCUUUCAUGUAAAUUCAAUUGAUAUGUUUCAAAUGAAUAAAGCCCUGUCCAAGCAUAUCUGGCCAUUAACUGGAGAAAAUGAAAGUGUAAAGCAAAAAGAAAAAAGCAAAGACAUUAACGAUUCUGGGUCUGAAGGAGACAAUGGAGGGGAACAAGAGGAUGACGAGGAAGAGGUAAAGAAAGAGAGUAAUGAAAGAAGCAAGAAAGGACGGUCAGCUAAGGUGGAUGAGGAUGUUAAGAAAAGAGGAGGUGGUUUUACUAAAUUGUGCAGUCUUUCUCCUCAACUUCAAGAGCUUGUCGGAGUUCCAGAACUGGCCAGAACUGGGGUUGUGAAGAAGCUUUGGGCCUAUAUCCGGGAGAAGAACUUGCAAGAUCCAAAGAAUAAGCGAAACAUAAUAUGUGAUGAAUCAUUGCGUUCUAUUUUCGAUGUUGAUUCUAUUGACAUGUUUCAAAUGAAUAAAGCGUUGACUAAACACAUAUGGGCUGUCCGUGAGGAAGAUGCUCCAAGCAACUCUUCACCAAAGAAAAAGGGGACUAAACAAGGAAGAGAAGAAGGUCCUGAUGAACCUAAACAGAAAGAAAAGCGGCAGAAGAAAGUUCCUCAUGAACCUAAAAAGAAAGAAAAGCAGCAGAAGAAAGAAAUCUAGCCCUGAUUUGGUCACCACCAAGAUAAGGAAAGACCAACUUUGCUACGAAUUGUGAAAUGCACCCUUACAACAAUCAGAGUGCCGGUAACUUGGAGAUCUUCAGGAUCUGAAUUGCAAGGCAUGAAUACAUACAAGUGCAAUGCACCUCCUUUUCAAAAAGAGAAAACAAUGAUCUUUCGGUGCCAAUUUUUUUAUUUAUCCGCAAUCAUAUGGUGUGUUAAUGAAUAGUGAGGAAAAGAUAGCUGAAGCUAAUUUAUAAAUGCAAAUCACAUCUUAAGAGGUUGAAUUUCAAUGUUUUUUAUCUGAAGUUGGUCCGCUGAGAUGGUACUGAUGAAUUUAAACUUCUUGGCCGAAGACACUUCCAGUCAUAACUGGGCCUGCCUCCCUUCUGCUACUAGCAAACAUAACACGUCCUUUUGAAGUAUGGUUAUGCUUAAUUUUCAUGACCCUGCUAAGCCCUGGACCUUUUUUUCGGGUUUUUCCUUAUGAUAAUCUCUGGCUGUAUCAUAUUGAUGCAUUUGGAUCCAGCUGACAAGAGGAGAAUUGUUUGCGACAAGAAGCUAAAAGAAAUAUCUGAGGUUGACUCCUUCAAUGGCUUCACAGCCUCAAAGCUCCUGUCAUUGCAUUUUAUCAAGACAGAGCAGUGAGUGGCAUAUAUGUACUUAACUUGAGCCCAUUAGAAGUGGGAAUUUUGCUUGAGAUGAAUUUACUCUUUUACAUUUUGCUCUGGCAGCCUGGUGCUCCUUGUUGAAGAAAUGGAAAUAGUUUUGCAAAAUACAAGUUCUUUCUACUAAUUUUCAUCA